rnacentral:lncRNA from 1 species
AGGGCAAAGUUUCGGAUUGAUGCGCGCACUUGUUGCUCAUGGCGUCGUCAGCGCGUGCCGACACUAUAUAAAGGCGUCGUGUUUCUUCCCAAUCGCAUGCAAUUAAGAGCCUGUUUUGUGGAUGAAAUCAACAGCAGUGAGCCUGAAGAAGGUGUGGAUAUGUCACAUUUCAGCACCGAUGACGAGGAUGCGUCAAGCCGGAACAUUCAGCCAGGUCUCAACGUCAAAUGGACAUGAUUCCUUGCCAGCAGCUGUACGUGCCAUUUUUUUUCCGAGACGGAACCCCAUGGGGUCUCGAAUUGUUGGCGGCCUCGCCAUGCUCUCUGGCCUCGCCAACUUCAACCCCCGUUCGAGCUGCCUCGCCUUCACUUCAUCUAUAUUAGAAUAACUCGGAUCCAUUUACUGGCCUUUCUCUUUCAAACAUUAUGCCCAGGACCCGAUUUUUAUUCGUGCCUUGCUUUUCUCAGCGUCAUGGACCCGGAGAACAUCGCGCAAGGUAUGGUGACUAAUUGCUAUGCAAUGUUCCUAAAAUGUUAAAUUAUCUUUUUAGCAUUGAUAUUAACAUAGAAAAUAUGAAUUUUGUUAUAUGUGUAAUUUACCCUUUUGUAUCUAUGUAACAUACUUCUACUGUUUUUUUAGCACACGUAUACAUAAUAUAUAUUCUAGCUUAUAAUGGUUUUUCUUAACUAUUGUAUCCUGUUUUAGAUUAUAUAAUAAUUCUGAUUACUGCUGUUGUACUUAUUCACAAUGUCAUGUUUCAGUAUAUCAUGCUUUUCAUUUCUUAUAUGUGCCACUAUUUCUGAUUCAGUUUUUAGGUAGCGGGAGCUUGUCAGGCAGCUUUAGCGCAGCUUUUAUUCCCGCCAUUCUUCAUUUACUACGCACGAAAAUGAAGAUUUAAUUCAACCUCUAUCUACUGCAGCAUAUCAAUGAACGUGACCUAUCAGCUUUUUCAGCAAUACCGGAAUUUGUGUAGUGGACAAACGAACGAUCAAAAGGACAAUCAAGUGGGUGGGGGUAUAGGCUGUGGGUCCUCGCUGACUCAAUGAUGGGCUACACUGUCCAUAUUCAGUGUUUACUCCAAGAAGCGAGAAACACCCAGCUCAAAGGGAUUGGCUUAUGACAUUGUAACCCACCUGUGUGAGGCACAUUUGGAUCAAGGGUACAUUGCGUCUAGUUUGAUGUUUGCACAUUCACGACCCUCUUUGUCUUGAGUGAAAGUGCCUCUUUUGCGGAACAAUGUGCAAAGAUUGCCGCGGAUUUCCCACCCAAUUGAAAGGAUCGCAGUAAUGUGCAGUGCAUAGAAAGUCACUUUUGAAAAUGCUGGCUUUCACAAGCUUGCACUUUAUUUUAUUUAUUUAUUUCGUAAUUCCCUCCGGGCCAAAAGCAUUAUGGAGGGGGGUAAAACAUGAUUUUCUUUACUCAUACAAGAUAGUGGGAGCUUGUUUAAUUCGUUUUAUGGCGGAAGUGGGAUGUGGUCAUCAGGUGUGCAUAUAAUUUAUGCAAAUUAUUUUGCUGGGGCCGGAUAAGUUAUUCGUCAGAAGGAGCUGUCAAUUGCAUAAUGCUGAAUCUUAUCCUGGGCAGCUUCUUGAAUUUCUAGGAACAGACCAAGACGUAGCUAGGAAGGAAUACGGAACAGAGUAAUGCGGUUUUAGCUUUUAUAUUGCAUUCCCCUUUGUUAGUUUGAACCUCUUAGAUGUUUGAAAUGCACACGUCUCAGUGCAUGCAAAGGACAUGAACGAGGAAGUAGUUAUAGUUUAGGGACUACUAUGUGUUUCCACAGCUUGUGAAAAUUCGGGCCUACCAUGAGCUUGAGUGCCUGUAACACUUUGUGGAAACCAAGUGCGUGUAAUUUUUUCCUUGAAGAAACAACGGGAAUAGAUUGCGGGACCAUUUCUUGGUUGGACACAGCCUGUGUGAAGCCAACAAAUGAUAUUCAUCAAGGAGAGCAUGGUGGUGUUAUUUGUAAUACCGUAAUUAAGAACAGUUAUUAUAAAAUAAAGGAAAAGGAAAGUGUAUGAAGCACUUGAAAGAAAGAAUUCUUUCUGUUUUUCGCUAUAAACCUCAGUUGCAAGUAAGUGCCUAUCAUUUGUCCACCCUAGUCUAUAAUCCUUUUAGUGCUCUUCCCUCGUUAAGAGUGGUUAAACGUGCAGUGAUUGAUUUCAAAAGCAUGUGGAUAUUUUGUAAGCAGAAUUUUUCAAUCUGAGAAGCCACUAAGAAAGCUAGAGACCCUCCUCCAGCAACGCGGAGAAGUGAUAACGAUGCUGAUAGCUCUCUUUGCAAACUGUUCAUUAUGCUCAACGUUCUGCACUCACAGGAGUGAGUGCAACUGUGGUUAACCACAUUCAUUUUGACAUGUUCAACCGUUUUUUAAUAUAAAAAGCAGGUAGAAUAAGUUUUCCGAAUGCUUGUCAUCACGAGAAGUCCCUUUGCCACCUCUCAAGCCAAGGUACUCUUGGUACUUGUCUAACUAGUUGGAAAGUGCUGCUAGUCCCUAAGCUAACAAUUUUCAUGCUGCCGCUCAUGAGCAUCAGAUCAUAAGUCAAGCGAGGGCAGCGCCACUGUUCUGCUCACUACAAAUAAAGGCUUAUCUGCACAAGUUAAGUUACAAAACAUUACAAUAAAAAAAAGUGUACUGCAUUUUAACGCUAAUAUAGACACAAUUCGCUGCGUACACCAGAAACAGUCACGUGAUUGGACUCUUAUGCAUCUUCGCUUUUUUGCCACGUGGUGCACCAGAAGUAUUAUGUGUUGCUUUAGUGAGUUAAAAAUAUAGAUCUGCGUCAAAUGAAAAAACAGACCUCUUUUUAGCCAAUAUAAUUAAAUGGACAAUUAAUCUUUCCAUUAGUUUGGUUAUCUCACUUCGUGUUCUGAGUGGUUCUCUGUCCCUUUAAAAGGGACCUGAAACACGUUUUGAGCAUGGUCAGAAAACGCUGCCGAUCGGUAAUCAGGGCUCCUGAGAACAUGUAAGCCAAACAUAAUUAUGCAGCACGCGGCCUGAAAUUUACAAUUAACUUUCAAAUUCAGCUAGAAAUCGCUCACUCUUCUCUGACAAAUGAUGACAGAAUCCAAAUGAGCCGCGUCAUAAAGAGGAGGAGGAUACAACUUUAUCAAAAAGAAAUUUCAGGGGUUUGGAGCUGGCCGCUUGUCUGCGGUGGCCUCUUCCGCGCAGGCAAUGACUGCUUCUUGCAGUUUUCAUGCAAAGUCCAUGGCCAUUGGUUGCUUUAGAGCAUGGUGAGCUGCAUAGUUACCGCAGAUGCCACAGGAUGCUGCGACGUGACUGCGCUGCACUCUGCAGAAUGCAGCACGCAGCGCUAGAGUGCAGCGCGUAGUGCUAGAAUUACUGUGCUGACACAGUAUAGAAUUACACCAGUGUGCUCACAAUCACAUUGAAAGUAAGCUGUGCGUUCAAGGAAAAAAAAGGUACUCAAGGUAAUGACACGCUGAUGAAUGGACAUAGCUUCUAGCCGCCUUUGUCAUCCCCUCCCUUGCUUAGCUUCAGUGUGGUCGCUGGUUUUGAAGGAGAUGGAAAGCGCUUAAAGCGGGUGACAAAUCCCUAUAACUCCGCUCACACUUGAGGUAUUCUAAAAUUUUUUUCUGCAGUCAGUUCAUGAGGCAAUAAACUCCUUUAAGCCUUUUGAUAAUUACUUAGAAAAGUGUCGCAUGGCCCCUUUUAAUGUGUAACCUUAACCACGAAAUUUUGUGCAAUCACUCUCCAUGUUUCAAAGUUAUACUUAUGAACAAGGAUUUGUGACGUAUUUAGUAUUUCAGGUUGUUUUGUUUCUCCUACUUUGUGUGAAAAAGAUACAGAGCUGGAACUCAUCUCACAACUAACUUAAUUUAAAAAAAAUGUAUACCAUAGGGCUGCUUAAUGAAUAUAGACUAUGCUGAGCUAAUUUCAGCGGCCACAGUCUGUUUAGGCCUUGCUGAUCACACACUGCUUUGAUCAUUCCUGAUCCAUGUUUCAUUUACUUGUUGCUUGUUUAGAGACCAACUUUCAUAUGUGUGUUAAUGAUGAACUUUUUUACAGAACAAGUUUCCUGCACCACUUUGGGGAAAUAAGGAAGAAAAGAAGUCUUUACCGUAUGAUUUUUCAAGUAGGGACGUACACAAGAAUAUAGCAAACUGGGCAUUUACAUUGCAAAGGGCCGCGAGUUUCAAGUGGCAUAUUAUAUGAUUAAUACAUCACUGGGGACUUGGCCCAUGACCAUGCUUUGAGUACCUGAUAACCAAAGGCACUAUUGCUGAUACUUGAGUUGGGAGAAUUGGUGAAAUUUAAUGACAUGCUUGAUAUGUUAGUACAUAAGGUUCAUUACGAUAUCUAUUUUUGAAUGCAGUCUAUGUUUCCGUUGCAGUUUUGUUGACGUGAAAUCUUAUGCACUGUGCACGCUCAUUCUUUGCAGAUGUCUGACCCAUUUUAUAGGCCAGCAGACGGAAGAUGACACAAAGGAAGCAAAGCUGACAGUUGCUGAAAAGGACUUUAUAUCUUGCCAUGUGGUCUUAACGAUCAAGUUUCCUGAUGUCGUAGCAAUGUGGUUCCCCCCACAGCCUCACUAUAUAUAUUUGUAGUGAUGCUGAAAUCAGCAGCUUGAGCUGGUGUGUGAAAACGUAGGCAGCAUGGUGAAAAAAAAAAAAUGUUCAAUACGUACGACUUCAGAACACAGAAGUGCCAUGCGGCAGCCCUUUAAUAAAAACCUUCUAGUUGUUGCAUGGUUUAUGGCCCAUUUAUGAAUUGUAUCACAACCUUGAAAAGAAACAGAUCGUUUACUGCUGUCUAACGUUAAAUUGGUUCACCUGCAUCGAGGACAACUCGUUUUUCUGUUCACAGAAUGUGGACAGCUGUUAUAUUUUGUUGGUAUUGCAAAUGUGGCACACUUUUCUAACGUUACGUUAUAUUCUUCUCCUAGAUAUAUUUACAGCACAAUGUUGAAAAUGCUGGAUGGGGUGGGGCGCAACAUGCAGUGUUGUGGCAUGGGACACAUAGAGGCAAACGUUGGCGAUAAGUCGGUUGCCUUCUGGAGAAUUUGACCAGCUUGUUCAUGAUACAGUUGAUAACAUUCCAGAGCAUAUGGAACAAUCCAUUUGGUAACUUCAUUUCGACAAAUGGCACACCACACAAUGUUCGAACUAGCAACUGUUUAACCACUGUUUGUAAUGCACAUUUGCUACUUUGCAGUUUGUGUGAUGUGAGUUGUACAGUUUUUUGCCUGUUAAUUAACACUGUGUUUAUCUUGGUGUGUAAACACGUGGCCCCAUUUGCAGGUGUACUUGGUCACAUCUAGUCUUGUGGACACAGCUUGUCAUAUUGUUUUCACUUAUGGUACAAACAUUCACGUUUUUUGUUGUUUAAAGAGGGCUCGUGUAACAGAUGCUAACUGAGAAUUUCAUGUAUGAAAAGCACUAAAUCUGCGUAAAUGAGGCCCAUACACACAUUGUACUUUGCUAUCAUUCAUUUGUUGGGUAGGCAACCUAGCAUGUGCUUUGUUAACCGCCCUACCUUUGUUCUUUAAUUGUUUCUCUCUAUCACUUAGCCACAUUAUAAUCAGUCAGAAAUGUGAAUUGGUCGUUCAGCCCAUUGUGUGACCCUAUCUUUAGUUUUUAUUUGUACGAUUUUGAUUGCUGUCAUGAAUUUCAAUUGUGAUUUUCUUUUCAGAUUAUGGCAUACAGCAAACAUUCUGUGAUGUUAUGCCAAAAGAAAAGGAUUACCAACUCUUAAAUAUUUACGAAAGUGUGGACAUAUUUUGUAAAACACAUCCGGUUCUGUGCCUGUUUUUUAUGGUGCAGAAAUAUUCUGAACUGAGGAUAUUUCCUUUAAUUUGUGAAAAAAAAAGGACGAGCAGAUUUCGUAUAUUGUUGUUUUUCGUUUCAUUUACUAGAAAGACUACUUGCACUUGCUAAGAAGAAGUAAUAUUGUAAUUUGUCAAUUUUGAUUGAAACAGUGUUGUGUACAUUACAAAUUUCAGUACAGAAGAUGCUUGAAAAAUGUUCUGCCAGAGAUAUUGUUAGGAGGCAUUGCGAUUGAGUACACCGUUAGAGCAGUGCCAGCCAUUGGUCAUUCUCUUCAUACAUUGGCCUUGCAUAUGAUACACAUUGUAUUUUUAACAUACUCGUGAUCCCCACAACAAUAUUUUAUCAUUAUUUUAUCAUUGCUAAUUAUGUGCGACGUGGGAAAAGCACAAGAAAGAGUAUUUCUAAUGCGAAUUCCAAGGUAUUAUGUAAAGCCACACACUCGGGAUUGUUGUUAUCAAAAAGAUAUGCAGGCACUGUUGGUUACGUUCUUCAUGUACCCAUGCUUGCAUUUAAUAAUAUUAGACUAUGCACCAUGUAUUGCACCAUCCACUAGCAGCAUUACGACCAAUGGGAAUGUGUUCGUUUUGCGAAUAAUUGCACUGUUUUCAGUAUGGGUGCAGUGAAUAGUAAUUAGGUCAAUGAAAAACUUCUUUAUUGUGAUCUCUUUUAUGUAUAGCUGAUCUUCAAAAAUCGCGUUUCAGUCAGGCUCGAGAAAUAAUGUGAAGAUUGAAAUGGUGAGAUUGAAGACAGUGUUUAGCCUUUUUCUGAAAUUGCAACAUUUGACUUAUGCAGACUCUGCUGCUGUACAUGAUCAGACUGAUCAGCCUUCUCGUACGGACACUGCCAGGGGAACAUGUGUGAAGAAAAAGCGUGUACACAACUCAUACAAGUGCGACCACUGUGGCAAAGCCUUCAGGCAGAAGAGACGGUUUGUCGCACACCGACGCAUCCAUGCCGACUCUGCUGCUGUACGUCAUUGCAUUGGCCAGCCUGCUCUUAGGGGCUCUGCCAGAGGAACGCUUGUGCAGAAAUGUCCUUCAUGUAAUUACACUACAAGUAGAAGGACUGAUAUGCUGAACCACCGAAGAAUACAUACAGGCGAGCGCCCAUUCAAGUGUGACCACUGUAGCAAAGCCUUCAGGCUAAUGACCCAGUUGGUCGUGCAUCAACGCAUCCACGCUGGUGAGAAACACUCCCAAUACCACCUUUGCCCCAUUUUGUGCAGUGGAGCAAAUUUAUGCACGGCUUCAAAACUCACUGAUGAAAGAUGCUUUUUACUGAUGGUAUCAAACUGUCGCAGGGCUAAGGAGGUUUAUAUUGUAUGCUUCUCAAUUGGUGAAAUGGAAGUGGAAGGCUACAAAGGUUUAUAUUGUCACAGUCGAACCUUGUUAAUAGGUACCCGCUUUACUAAUAGUUGAAGCAUAGUUGCUAUGUAUCCCCGACCGAGUCUUAUAGAGCCUAAUGCAUUUGCUGACCGUUUAAGCCAUAGUGGUUCGUCCUAUGCCUAUCGGCUAGUGCCCUGCAUUCCGCCCCAACUCUUUGUGCCAUAAAUGUUUACUGCACCGCUGAACUU